AAGUUAGGCGCACCAGUGCAAAAAGUUAGUCUGGAGCCCUGAAAAAUAGAUAGGCUAUUUCCCCGGUAGUAGACUAUUUACAUAUUCCAAAACAUUCUCAGUCUUUACGCCACAGCAGAGAAAACGUCACUUCUAUAAAGUCCAACCGUUACGCCCCCACACCAGCAGGGGAGACACUUUUGCUACCAGGGUUCACUCGGAGACAAACCGGAGCAAUGGUAAGAUUUAAAGAAUAGACUAUGCUUUCAUUCUGCUGUAGGCUAUAAGGAAAUAGAUAGGCUACGUUAAUAGAUACCGAUCUUAACUGUACAUUUUGUUUUCACAGACUAACUUUGCCUCUUAAUGGGGCCGUGACCCCCUUUUUGCUCGGAGCUGUCUGCAAGUCAUUCAAGCAAUUCGGUAAACUCCAGGUUGCUGUCCAUAGAGGACCGGUUGGCUGCUCUGGAGUCGAAAAACUGUGAGGGAGAGACUAAGAAGAGAAUACGGGAUGCACAAUCCCAAGCUUGCGCUGCUGGAAUCGUGACAGUGUGCUAGCAGAGGACGAGGGGGAACUUUGGAAGUCCGCCACCUUAGACGUCUAAUGAUGUCUAAUGAAGACGGCGAUGUUGGCUGGGUGUCUGAAUGGAUUGUACGAUCGCCUUCCUUUCAUAGCCCGGAGCUCUCUGAACUCUGUGGCACGCUGCAGUUCCGGUUAGAGGCGACUCUGAAGUACAGAGCCACGCACCAUAGGCGUCUGCAAAAAGGGCCUGCCUCAGAAAGAACCACCAGUUACAGUCCCGAGGCGGCAAACAGCCAGUUCACGGAGUUGUAGCUUUUGGGCUGCUCGUGAGCUACCCAUAUGUUGUGGUGGCAGAUCCUCGCUUUGCACAUAGUUGUGUGUUUGUUUUAAUAAACCUCUUUCUUUGCAUAAACAUG